UAAUCAUUAAUUUGAUUUUUGAUCUACUUAUUUCACAUGAUUGUUUAAGGCCCAUGUUGUUAAGAAUAUGUCCAAGCCCAUGUCUUUAAGUCUUUUAACUCUUUUAAGUGUUAAGUGUAAACCUACUAACAGAAGCUCACGUUAGAGUCUAAUGUCUUUAACUUAAAUUUUUAGCUUUUCUUUGUUGUAUAUUUGGAGAUUAUAGAAGAUACUUCAGUAACAUCAGCAUUUGCUGCAACUCAAGCACAUGGUAAUGCCCUAAUACUUCUUCCGUGGGUAAUCCUCCUAAAAAGCAGAAAAGAAUAACUCCUUGUAAUUGAGACCCUAGCCUUGGGGAUAAUGGUAGAAAAACAUAUAAAGUUUGGAUCAUUACACAAAGUUUUUUUAAUAAAAUGGGAGAAUUGAGGGCAAAAAUGAAAGUACUGCCUCAAAGUUUGUGAUCAUUACACAAAGUUUUUUUAUUUCAUAUAUUUUCAUUUUAAUUUUAGGUAGUCUUUAUGUUUAAUUAUUAUGUAUGUUUGUAACAACAACUAAAAACUCCUAUGCUCUACUUUAUUUCCAUGUAUGUGUAUUAAGACGACAAAAA